rnacentral:piRNA from 1 species
UAUGGAUGAGAAAUGCGGAUAUGGGACUG